rnacentral:rRNA from 1 species
GACGAACGCUGGCGGCACGCUUAACACAUGCAAGUCGAACGAAAGAAGAGAAGCUUGCUUUUCUGAUCUAGUGGCGAACGGGUGAGUAACACGUGAGCAAUCUGCCUUUCAGUGUGGGAUACCGUUUGGAAACGAUCGUUAAUACCGCAUAACAUAAUUUAACCGCAUGAUUUGGUUAGCAAAGAUUUAUCGCUGAAAGAUGAGCUGCCGUCUGAUUAGCUAGUGGGUAAGGUAACGGCUUACCAAGGGUACGCUGAGUAGCCGGAGUGGGGGGUUGCCCGCCCAGAGUGGGACUGAGGCACGGCACAGAUUCCGACGGGAGGCAGCAGUGAGAAAUAUUGCACGAUGGAGGAAAGUCUGAUGAAGCGCGGGCGCGGGAGGAAAGACGGUUGGAUGAAUGUAAACUUCUGCCUUCAGGGACGAAGAAAGACGGUAACGGAGGAGGAAGCACCGGCUAACUACGUG